GAUAAACGCUGGCGGCGUGCAUAACACAUGCAAGUCGAACGAUGAAGAUUAAAAGAUUUCUUCGGAAUGAACUUAAUUGGAUUAGUGGCGGACGGGUGAGUAACGCGUGAGUAACCUGCCUUGUACAAGGGGAUAGCCGUUGGAAACGACGAAUAAUACCCUAUGACAUCAAAUAAUCGCAUGAUAAUUUGAUCAAAGAUUUAUCGGUAUAAGAUGGACUCGCGUCUGAUUAGCUAGUUGGUAGAGUAAAAGCCUACCAAGGCAACGAUCAGUAGCCGGCUGGAGGGAGUGGGCGGCACCAUGGGGAAGAGGACCCGGCCCAGCCCCCUGCGGGGGCCGGGAGGGGGGAAUUUUGAAAAGGGGGGAAACCCCGGAGGCGGCGACGCCGGGGAAUUAAGAGGCCCUGGGGGUUUAAAAAUUUUUUUUUAUGGGAAAAAAAGGACAGUCCAAAAGAAAAAAGGCCGGGCUAAUCACGUC
rnacentral:rRNA from 1 species